rnacentral:rRNA from 1 species
UACGGGGGGGCAAGCGUUGUUCGGAAUUACUGGGCGUAAAGGGCUCGUAGGCGGCCAACUAAGUCAGACGUGAAAUCCCUCGGCUUAACCGGGGAACUGCGUCUGAUACUGGAUGGCUUGAGUUUGGGAGAGGGAUGCGGAAUUCCAGGUGUAGCGGUGAAAUGCGUAGAUAUCGGGAGGAACAUCAGUUGCGAAGGCGGCUCUCUGGACCAGCACUGACACUGAGGCACGAAAGCGUGGGGAGCAAACAGG